UACGUAGGGUGCAAGCGUUGCCCGGAUUUAUUGGGCGUAAAGGGCGCGUAGGCGGCUCUGCACGUUCGUUGUGAAAUCGCCCGGCUCAACUGGGCGGGGUCAGCGGAUACGGCAGAGCUUGAGCAAGCUAGGGGGCAAUGGAAUUCCCGGUGUAGCGGUGAAAUGCGCAGAUAUCGGGAAGAACACCCGUGGCGAAGGCGGCUCUCUGGGACGGUACUGACGCUGAGACGCGAAAGCGUGGGGAGCGAACAGG
rnacentral:rRNA from 1 species